AGUGUUCGUCUGGACAGGGCAAAACACCAGGUUUGCGAUAACAUCUCGCUUAGAGCUGAUAGCGGGAAAUACCUGGAAAAGAUUUAAUAGCGCAAUUCCAAUAGCUAUGCAUAGAGUUAGUUAAGGCUAAGAGCGAGUCGAAGAGCAGUCCUAGCAGCGCGAGACGUCGGGCAGCGUGCGCCCACGACAUUUGCUCAUCCAUCCGGGCCAGGCCUGGAAUCCGUGGCGAUUGAAGAUCUGCAUGGCGCAGCGUGAGUCAUCCGAGAUCUCAUCGUUCAGGAACUCUGCAACGGAAAGCUCUCUAUUUAUGCCACCGCGACGACCUUUGCGACACCAGUUUUUGCUGUUGAUCUGUGGAUGGGCGGAUUAGCAUUGAGCGGUCCAAAAAUUAGUGGAAAAGGAGCUUGGGUUAACCCACCUGAAAGAGUCCAUAGCUG